rnacentral:miRNA from 1 species
UUAGGUCGGUGCAAAAGUAAUUGUGGUUUUUGCCACUAAAAGUAAUGGGAAAAACUGCAAUUACUUUUGUACCAACCUAAUA